UACGUAGGGUGCAGGCGUUAAUCGGAAUUACUGGGCGUAAAGCGUGCGCAGGCGGUUUGUUAAGUCUGUUGUGAAAUCCCCGAGCUCAACUUGGGAAUUGCAAUGGACACUGGCAGGCUGGAGUAUGGUAGAGGAAGGUGGAAUUCCCGGUGUAGCAGUGAAAUGCGUAGAGAUCGGGAGGAACACCAGUGGCGAAGGCGGCCUUCUGGACCAAUACUGACGCUCAUGCACGAAAGCGUGGGGAGCAAACAGG
rnacentral:rRNA from 1 species